UGAGUGAUGUUCAAGGAUGGAUUCUAGGUGGUUAUUUGGAAAUGAAGUGCUUUAAAUCUCAAAAAUGGUAACUCUAUUUUCAAUGGCUCAUUUCGGGUUUGCAAUAAGGUGUUUUUUGCUUUUGAGGAUUUUGAAAUGAAUGGAACACCUUCCCUUAUUUAUAGGGAAGGUGAUGGAGUGGUUUGAAGGGAGAAUGGAGAGGGUUUUCU
rnacentral:lncRNA from 1 species